rnacentral:sRNA from 1 species
AUAUGUAAAAAAAUUGAAAGCUAAUUUCAAAAUUGCAGAUUCUAAAAAGAAAAAAGGAAAUUUGUUCGUAAUAAUGCUUUCUCUAUUACAACUAACUAAAUUAUGUCGGAUCUCAAAUCCUAAUCAUCAAGAAUAUACACUAGUUACAAAUAAAAUGAAAACAACUUCGUACACUAAAUCCUAAUAGAUUAAGGACGAGGAGUAACUUCUCUAUAUAUAUAUACACAUAGUUUAACUUAUUCUACUAGAGAAAAAAAAAACAGAAGAGAGAGUUCAUAAACAAUGACGUUCGAAGAAGAGGUGUCUAAAGAAGAUAUUGAGUGUGUGGAAACAUUACUGAUCGAUCAAUCUUGAGCUGGCGGACGAUUUUCUUCGACGGAUGAGUGUUGGGUCGAUCGAUCUCCACCUGGGAUCGAUCGAUCCAGUGUUGCUAACCCCGGUUUCUCGAUUCCUGCUAUCGUUUCUGGUCCAAAUGAGCCCGAUAAGUCCCGAAAACAUCUGUGUCCCGCUUAAACACCUAAAACCUACAAAUGACUCAAGACACAACAGAAAAGACGCAAAAGACGGACUACGACACGACAAACGACUCAAAACACGGACUAAAUCAGGACUCGAAACCGUCAAAAACGCUAUACAUCAACUCCCCCCGACUUAGAUCUUUACUUGUCCUUAAGG